rnacentral:rRNA from 1 species
AAGCGAGACAGUGAUGUGGAGCGGACCUCUUAAAGAAUGUCGUAGUCCGGAUUGGAGUCUGCAACUCGACUCCAUGAAGUCGGAAUCGCUAGUAAUCGCAGGUCAGAAUACUGCGGUGAAUACGUUCCCGGGCCUUGUACACACCGCCCGUCACACCAUGGGAGUGGGAUGCAAAAGAAGUAGUUAGUCUAACCUUCGGGAGGACGAUUACCACUUUGUGUUUCAUGACUGGGGUGAAGUCGUAACAAGGUAACCCUAGGGGAACCUGGGGUUGGAUCACCUCCUU